GACGAACGCUGGCGGCGUGCCUAAUACAUGCAAGUUGAGCGCUGAAGGUUGGUACUUGUACCGACUGGAUGAGCAGCGAACGGGUGAGUAACGCGUGGGGAAUCUGCCUUUGAGCGGGGGACAACAUUUGGAAACGAAUGCUAAUACCGCAUAAAAACUUUAAACACAAGUUUUAAGUUUGAAAGAUGCAAUUGCAUCACUCAAAGAUGAUCCCGCGUUGUAUUAGCUAGUUGGUGAGGUAAAGUCUCACCAAGGCGAUGAUACAUAGCCGACCUGAGAGGGUGAUCGGCCACAUUGGGACUGAGACACGGCCCAAACUCCUACGGGAGGCAGCAGUAGGGAAUCUUCGGCAAUGGACGAAAGUCUGACCGAGCAACGCCGCGUGAGUGAAGAAGGUUUUCGGAUCGUAAAACUCUGUUGGUAGAGAAGAACGUUGGUGAGAGUGGAAAGCUCAUCAAGUGACGGUAACUACCCAGAAAGGGACGGCUAACUACGUG
rnacentral:rRNA from 1 species